rnacentral:rRNA from 1 species
UGGUGGGGUAACGGCCCACCAAGCCGAAGAUCCGUACGGGCCAUGAGAGUGGGAGCCCGGAGAUGGACCCUGAGACACGGGUCCAGGCCCUACGGGGCGCAGCAGGCGCGAAACCUCCGCAAUGCGGGAAACCGCGACGGGGUCAGCCGGAGUGCUCGCGCAUCGCGCGGGCUGUCGGGGUGCCUAAAAAGCACCCCAUAGCAAGGGCCGGGCAAGGCCGGUGGCAGCCGCCGCGGUAAUACCGGCGGCCCGAGUGGCGGCCACUUUUAUUGGGCCUAAGGCGUCCGUAGCCGGGCUGGUAAGUCCUCCGGGAAAUCUGGUCGCUUAACGAUCAGACUGCCGGAGGAUACUGCCAGCCUAGGGACCGGGAGAGGCCGGGGGUAUUCCCGGGGUAGGGGUGAAAUCCUGUAAUCCCGGGAGGACCACCUGUGGCGAAGGCGCCCGGCUGGAACGGGUCCGACGGUGAGGGACGAAGGCCAGGGGAGCGAACCGGAUUAGAU